rnacentral:lncRNA from 1 species
UUUGCAUAAGAUCUCCUGAGUGUGCAUUGUUCUUUGAGGACCAUUCUCUGACUCACCAGGUAAGUGGCUGAAUUCUAACCUCUGUAAUGAGCAUUGCACCCAAUACCAGUUCUGAACUCUACCUGGUGACCAGGGACCAGGACCUUUAUAAGGUGGAAGGCUUGAUGUCCUCCCCAGACUCAGCUCCUGGUGAAGCUCCCAGCCAUCAGCCAUGAGGGUCUUGUAUCUCCUCUUCUCGUUCCUCUUCAUAUUUCUGAUGCCUCUUCCAGGUGAGAUGGGCCAGGGAAAUAGGAGGGUUGGCCAAAUGGAAGAAUGGCGUAGAAGUUCUCUGUCUCCUCUCAUUCCCCUCCACCUAUCUCUCCCUCAUCCCUCUCUCUCCUUCCUCUCUCUGUGUGUCCCCUCCAUCCUUUUCUCCUGCUUCUCUCUCUUCUUCCCUCUCUCUCUUUUUUUCUGUCUUUCUUUUUCCUCUCUCCCUAGAGCAUGUCUUUCUUUCUUUCUCUUUCCUUUCUUCUACCCACACUUUUAGACUGAAUGCCCUAUUUAAUUGAACCAAGCAUUGCUUCCUUCAAUAGAAAAGGAGUUUGAGAACCCAAUGGACACCUCACUCGUUCUUCUAAGCCAAUAUGAAGGAGCCCAGUAGCUUGUGUUUUUGGUGGUAUAGGCGAUCCUGUUACCUGCCUUAAGAGUGGAGCCAUAUGUCAUCCAGUCUUUUGCCCUAGAAGGUAUAAACAAAUUGGCACCUGUGGUCUCCCUGGAACAAAAUGCUGCAAAAAGCCAUGAGGAGGCCAAGAAGCUGCUGUGGCUGAUGCGGAUUCAGAAAGGGCUCCCUCAUCAGAGACGUGCGACAUGUAAACCAAAUUAAACUAUGGUGUCCAAAGAUACGCAAU